UCUGGCGGUCUUUGGCUGUCCGAGUUGUAAUCUAGAGAAGUGUUAUCCGCGCUGGACCGUGUACAAGUCUCCUGGAAUGGAGCGUCAUAGAGGGUGAGAAUCCCGUCUUUGACACGGACUGCCAGGGCUUUGUGAUGCGCUCUCAAAGAGUCGAGUUGUUUGGGAAUGCAGCUCAAAAUGGGUGGUAAAUUCCAUCUAAAGCUAAAUAUUGGCGAGAGACCGAUAGCGAACAAGUACCGUGAGGGAAAGAUGAAAAGAACUUUGGAAAGAGAGUUAAACAGUACGUGAAAUUGCUGAAAGGGAAACGCUUGAAGUCAGUCGCGUUGGCCGGGGAUCAACCUUGCUUUUGCUGGGCGUACUUCCCGGUUAAUGGGUCAGCAUCAAUUUUGACCGUUGGAUAAAGGUCAGGGGAAUGUGGCAUCUUCGGAUGUGUUAUAGCCCUUGGUCGCAUACAACGGUUGGGAUUGAGGAACUCAGCACGCCGCAAGGCCGGGUAUUUAUACUACGUUCGUGCUUAGGAUGCUGGCAUAAUGGCUUUAAUCGACCCGUCUUGAAACACGGACCAAGGAGUCUAACAUGCCUGCGAGUGUUUGGGUGGAAAACCCGAGCGCGUAAUGAAAGUGAAAGUUGAGAUCCCUGUCGUGGGGAGCAUCGACGCCCGGACCAGACCUUCUGUGACGGAUCCGCGGUAGAGCAUGUAUGUUGGGACCCGAAAGAUGGUGAACUAUGCCUGAAUAGGGUGAAGCCAGAGGAAACUCUGGUGGAGGC
rnacentral:rRNA from 1 species